rnacentral:rRNA from 1 species
GACGAACGCGGGCGGCGUGCUUAACACAUGCAAGUCGAACGCUGAAGCCCAGCUUGCUGGGUGGAUGAGUGGCGAACGGGUGAGUAACACGUGAGUAACCUGCCCCCUUCUUUGGGAUAACGCCCGGAAACGGGUGCUAAUACNGGAUAUUCACUGAUCUUCGCAUGGGGGUUGGUGGAAAGGUUUUUUCUGGUGGGGGAUGGGCUCGCGGCCUAUCAGCUUGUUGGUGGGGUGAUGGCCUACCAAGGCUUUGACGGGUAGCCGGCCUGAGAGGGUGACCGGUCACAUUGGGACUGAGAUACGGCCCAGACUCCUACGGGAGGCAGCAGUGGGGAAUAUUGCACAAUGGGCGAAAGCCUGAUGCAGCGACGCCGCGUGAGGGAUGACGGCCUUCGGGUUGUAAACCUCUUUCGCUCAUGGUCAAGCCGCAGCUUUGGGUUGUGGUGAGGGUAGUGGGUAAAGAAGCGCCGGCUAACUACGUGCCAGCAGCCGCGGUAAUACGUAGGGCGCGAGCGUUGUCCGGAAUUAUUGGGCGUAAAGGGCUUGUAGGCGGUUGGUCGCGUCUGCCGUGAAAUCCUCUGGCUUAACUGGGGGCGUGCGGUGGGUACGGGCUGACUUGAGUGCGGUAGGGGAGACUGGAACUCCUGGUGUAGCGGUGGAAUGCGCAGAUAUCAGGAAGAACACCGGUGGCGAAGGCGGGUCUCUGGGCCGUUACUGACGCUGAGGAGCGAAAGCGUGGGGAGCGAACAGG